GGGUUGUGAGGUUAAGCGACUAAGCGUACACGGUGGAUGCCCUGGCAGUCAGAGGCGAUGAAGGACGUGCUAAUCUGCGAUAAGCGUCGGUAAGGUGAUAUGAACCGUUAUAACCGGCGAUUUCCGAAUGGGGAAACCCAGUGUGAUUCGUCACACUAUCAUUAACUGAAUCCAUAGGUUAAUGAGGCGAACCGGGGGAACUGAAACAUCUAAGUACCCCGAGGAAAAGAAAUCAACCGAGAUUCCCCCAGUAGCGGCGAGCGAACGGGGAGCAGCCCAGAGCCUGAAUCAGUGUGUGUGUUAGUGGAAGCGUCUGGAAAGGCGCGCGAUACAGGGUGACAGCCCCGUACACAAAAAUGCACAUGCUGUGAGCUCGAUGAGUAGGGCGGGACACGUGGUAUCCUGUCUGAAUAUGGGGGGACCAUCCUCCAAGGCUAAAUACUCCUGACUGACCGAUAGUGAACCAGUACCGUGAGGGAAAGGCGAAAAGAACCCCGGCGAGGGGAGUGAAAAAGAACCUGAAACCGUGUACGUACAAGCAGUGGGAGCCUCUUUAUGGGGUGACUGCGUACCUUUUGUAUAAUGGGUCAGCGACUUAUAUUCUGUAGCAAGGUUAACCGAAUAGGGGAGCCGAAGGGAAACCGAGUCUUAACUGGGCGUUAAGUUGCAGGGUAUAGACCCGAAACCCGGUGAUCUAGCCAUGGGCAGGUUGAAGGUUGGGUAACACUAACUGGAGGACCGAACCGACUAAUGUUGAAAAAUUAGCGGAUGACUUGUGGCUGGGGGUGAAAGGCCAAUCAAACCGGGAGAUAGCUGGUUCUCCCCGAAAGCUAUUUAGGUAGCGCCUCGUGAAUUCAUCUCCGGGGGUAGAGCACUGUUUCGGCAAGGGGGUCAUCCCGACUUACCAACCCGAUGCAAACUGCGAAUACCGGAGAAUGUUAUCACGGGAGACACACGGCGGGUGCUAACGUCCGUCGUGAAGAGGGAAACAACCCAGACCGCCAGCUAAGGUCCCAAAGUCAUGGUUAAGUGGGAAACGAUGUGGGAAGGCCCAGACAGCCAGGAUGUUGGCUUAGAAGCAGCCAUCAUUUAAAGAAAGCGUAAUAGCUCACUGGUCGAGUCGGCCUGCGCGGAAGAUGUAACGGGGCUAAACCAUGCACCGAAGCUGCGGCAGCGACGCUUAUGCGUUGUUGGGUAGGGGAGCGUUCUGUAAGCCUGUGAAGGUGUACUGUGAGGUAUGCUGGAGGUAUCAGAAGUGCGAAUGCUGACAUAAGUAACGAUAAAGCGGGUGAAAAGCCCGCUCGCCGGAAGACCAAGGGUUCCUGUCCAACGUUAAUCGGGGCAGGGUGAGUCGACCCCUAAGGCGAGGCCGAAAGGCGUAGUCGAUGGGAAACAGGUUAAUAUUCCUGUACUUGGUGUUACUGCGAAGGGGGGACGGAGAAGGCUAUGUUGGCCGGGCGACGGUUGUCCCGGUUUAAGCGUGUAGGCUGGUUUUCCAGGCAAAUCCGGAAAAUCAAGGCUGAGGCGUGAUGACGAGGCACUACGGUGCUGAAGCAACAAAUGCCCUGCUUCCAGGAAAAGCCUCUAAGCAUCAGGUAACAUCAAAUCGUACCCCAAACCGACACAGGUGGUCAGGUAGAGAAUACCAAGGCGCUUGAGAGAACUCGGGUGAAGGAACUAGGCAAAAUGGUGCCGUAACUUCGGGAGAAGGCACGCUGAUAUGUAGGUGAAGCGACUUGCUCGUGGAGCUGAAAUCAGUCGAAGAUACCAGCUGGCUGCAACUGUUUAUUAAAAACACAGCACUGUGCAAACACGAAAGUGGACGUAUACGGUGUGACGCCUGCCCGGUGCCGGAAGGUUAAUUGAUGGGGUCAGCGCAAGCGAAGCUCUUGAUCGAAGCCCCGGUAAACGGCGGCCGUAACUAUAACGGUCCUAAGGUAGCGAAAUUCCUUGUCGGGUAAGUUCCGACCUGCACGAAUGGCGUAAUGAUGGCCAGGCUGUCUCCACCCGAGACUCAGUGAAAUUGAACUCGCUGUGAAGAUGCAGUGUACCCGCGGCAAGACGGAAAGACCCCGUGAACCUUUACUAUAGCUUGACACUGAACAUUGAGCCUUGAUGUGUAGGAUAGGUGGGAGGCUUUGAAGUGUGGACGCCAGUCUGCAUGGAGCCGACCUUGAAAUACCACCCUUUAAUGUUUGAUGUUCUAACGUGGACCCGUAAUCCGGGUUGCGGACAGUGUCUGGUGGGUAGUUUGACUGGGGCGGUCUCCUCCUAAAGAGUAACGGAGGAGCACGAAGGUUGGCUAAUCCUGGUCGGACAUCAGGAGGUUAGUGCAAUGGCAUAAGCCAGCUUGACUGCGAGCGUGACGGCGCGAGCAGGUGCGAAAGCAGGUCAUAGUGAUCCGGUGGUUCUGAAUGGAAGGGCCAUCGCUCAACGGAUAAAAGGUACUCCGGGGAUAACAGGCUGAUACCGCCCAAGAGUUCAUAUCGACGGCGGUGUUUGGCACCUCGAUGUCGGCUCAUCACAUCCUGGGGCUGAAGUAGGUCCCAAGGGUAUGGCUGUUCGCCAUUUAAAGUGGUACGCGAGCUGGGUUUAGAACGUCGUGAGACAGUUCGGUCCCUAUCUGCCGUGGGCGCUGGAGAACUGAGGGGGGCUGCUCCUAGUACGAGAGGACCGGAGUGGACGCAUCACUGGUGUUCGGGUUGUCAUGCCAAUGGCACUGCCCGGUAGCUAAAUGCGGAAGAGAUAAGUGCUGAAAGCAUCUAAGCACGAAACUUGCCCCGAGAUGAGUUCUCCCUGACUCCUUGAGAGUCCUGAAGGAACGUUGAAGACGACGACGUUGAUAGGCCGGGUGUGUAAGCGCAGCGAUGCGUUGAGCUAACCGGUACUAAUGAACCGUGAGGCUUAACCUUACAACGCCGAAGGUGUUU
rnacentral:rRNA from 1 species